CAUUAUUCCAGGAUGCAUUCGCCGUUAAGGUAUGUAGUGGUGCAUUCUUGGAAGGCGGUGAUUCAGGUUCUCUGGUUUUCUUUCAUGACAAGAAUAACAGGUGUUUGCCUAUGGUGUUUGCGAAGUGGAUGAGCUUCUCGUACCAAAACAGCACGAGUCAGCGAGUUCUUGCUGUUUUGAUGAAGACGAGUCUGAGUCUGAACAGGAAAUGGAGGAUGAGAAUGAAAGUACAUAUGAGAGUUCUGAGGCUGAAUGUAAGCAUGAAA